UCCCUUGUGGCUCAGCUGGUAAAGAAUCCACCUGCAAUGUGGGAGACCUGGGUUCAAUUCCUGGGUUGGGAA
rfam:TPA: Bos taurus chromosome 15, whole genome shotgun sequence.